GGUUUAAUUCGAUGCAACGCGAAGAACCUUACCACUCCUUGACAUGGGGACUAGAUCCUUCUUAACGGAAGGGCGCAGUUAGGCUGGGUCCCACACAGGUGCUGCAUGCCUGUCGUCAGCUCSUGUCGUGAGAUGUUGGGUUAAGUCCCGCAACGAGCGUAACCCUCAUUCUUAGUUGCCAGCGRGUAAUGCCGGGCACUUUAAGAAAACUGCCGGUGGUAAACUGGAGGAAGGUGGGGAUGAUGUCAAGUCAACACGGCCCUUAUGGGGUGGGCUACACACGUGCUACAAUGGUAACUACAAUGGGUUGCAAUGUCGCAAGGCUGAGCUAAUCCUCAAAAGCUAUCUCAGUUCGGAUUGUCCUCUGCAACUCGAGGGCAUGAAGUCGGAAUCGCUAGUAAUCGUGGAUCAGCAUGCCACGGUGAAUACG
rnacentral:rRNA from 1 species